rnacentral:lncRNA from 1 species
AUGCCGGGAAUCCCGCGGGAAACCCAGGGGGAAACCACGGGAAUCCCCCGGGAAACCCAGGGGGAAACCACGGGAAUCCCACGGGAAUUCCAGGGGGAAACCACGGGAAUCCCAGGGGGAAACCACGGGAAUCCUGCAGGAAACACAUGGGAAUUCCAGGAAACCCCUGGGAAAUCCCGGGAAUCCCCCGGGAAUUCCAGGGGGAAAGCACGGGAAUCCUGCGGGAAUCCCAUGGGAAUUAUGGGAAUCCCCUGGGAAACCACGGGAAUCCCCCGGGAAUCCCCUGGGAAUUCCGGGAAUCCCCCAGCACCCUCAGAAAUCCCUGGGAAUACCGGGAAUCCCACAGGAAUUCCAUGGGAAACCCCUGGGAAUUCCGGGAAUCCCUCGGGAAUUCCAUGGGAAACCCCUGGGGAAUUCCAGGAAUCCCCUGGGAACCCCUCAGCACCAUCAGGAAUUCUGGGAAUCUCCCGGGAAUCCCUCAGCACCCCCGGGAAUCCCGGGAAUUUUCCGGGAAUCCCUCAGCACCCCCGGGAAUCCCCCGGGAAUCCUGGGAAUCCCUCAGUGUUCCCGAGAAUCCCAGGAAUUCUCCAGGAAUCCCUCAGAAUUCCUGGGAAUCCCCUGGGAAUCCCUCAGCACCCUCUGGAAUUCCGGGAACCCCCCGGGAAUCCCAGGAAUCCCCCGGGAAUCCCUCAGCACCCCCAGGAAUCCCCUGGGAAUCCCUCAGCAUUCCCAGGAAUUUUCCGGGAAUCCCUCAGCAUUCCCAGGAAUUUUCCGGGAAUCCCUCAGCAUUCCCAGGAAUUUUCCGGGAAUCUCUCAGCAUUCCCAGGAAUUCCAGGAAUCCCCUGGGAAUCCCUCAGCAUCCCCGGGAAUUCCAGGAAUCCCCCGGGAAUCCCCCAGGAAUCCCUCAGCAUUCCCAGGAAUUCCAGGAAUCCCCCGGGAAUCCCUCAGCACCCCCGGGAAUCCCAGGAAUUUUCCGGGAAUCCCCCGGGAAUCCCUCAGCAUCCCCGGGAAUCCCUCAGCACCCCUGGGAAUCCCAGGAAUUUUCCGGGAAUCCCCCGGGAAUCCCUCAGCAUUCCCAGGAAUCCCCCGGGAAUCCCCCGGGAAUCCCUCAGCACCCCCGGGAAUCCCUCAGCACCCCUGGGAAUCCCAGGAAUUUUCCGGGAAUCCCCCGGGAAUCCCUCAGCACCCCCGGGAAUCCCAGGAAUUCUCGAGGAAUCCCUCAGCAUUCCCGGGAAUCCCCCGGGAAUCCCUCAGCAUCCCCGGGAAUCCCUCAGCACCCCUGGGAAUCCCAGGAAUUUUCCGGGAAUCCCCCGGGAAUCCCUCAGCACCCCCGGGAAUCCCAGGAAUUCUCGAGGAAUCCCUCAGCAUUCCCGGGAAUCCCCCGGGAAUCCCUCAGCAUCCCCGGGAAUCCCUCAGCACCCCUGGGAAUCCCAGGAAUUUUCUGGGAAUCCCCUGGGAAUCCCUCAGCAUUCCCGGGAAUCCCCCAGGAAUCCCCCGGGAAUCCCUCAGCAUUCCCGGGAAUCCCCCAGGAAUCCCCCGGGAAUCCCUCAGCAUUCCCGGGAAUCCCAGGAAUUUUCUGGGAAUCCCCUGGGAAUCCCUCAGCAUUCCCGGGAAUCCCUCAGCAUUCCCAGGAAUCCCCCAGGAAUCCCUCAGCAUUCCCGGGAAUCCCCUCUCCGCCUCCCAGUCCCGCUGGAAUCCGCCCCAGAAUCCACCUGGAGCGUCCCGGGGAGCCCUGCCCGCCCCAGCAGGGAUGAGCCCAUCCGGGAAUUCCCGGGAAUUCCCAGGGAUUCCCCCGGGGUUCCCCCGGCGAAUUUCCCCCCAAAUUCCCGCCGGGAUCCCGGGGCAGCGGGAAGCGAUCCCGGAAUUCCCGGAUCCCCCAAUAAAAUCAGAUCUGGGAAGAAAAGAGCCUCGGAAUUUUGGGAAUUUUGGGGAUUUUGGGGAUUUUUUUUAGGGGAGGAUCCGGCGGGAUUUGAGGGCUCCGGGAAUGACCCAAACACCCAAAAAAAAUAAAAACAAAAUCAGUGGGAAAAGAAGGGAUUUAUUCAGGGGGGAUCCCAAAAACUCCGGAUCCCGGGAGGGUUCAGGGCGGAUCCCGGAUCCUGGGAGGGUUCAGGGUGGAUCCCAGAUCCCGGGAGGAUCCCGGGAGGAGCAGGGGUUGAUCCUGGGCGGAUCCCAAAACUCCGGAUCCUGGGAGGAGCAGGGGUUGGUUCAGGGUGGAUCCCGGAUCCAGGGAGGAUCCCAGAUCCCAGGAGGAUCCCGGGAGGAGCAGGGGUUGAUCCAGGGAGGAUCCCAAAACCCCCAGAUCCUGGGAGGAGCAGGGGCUGGUUCAGGGAGGAUCCCGGAUCCAGGGAGGAUCCAGGGUGGAUCCCAGAUCCCAGGAGGAUCCCGGGAGGAGCAGGGGUUGAUCCAGGGAGGAUCCAGGGUGGAUCCCAGAUCCCAGGAGGAUCCCAGGAGGGUCCCGGGAGGAGCAGGGGCUGGUUCAGGGAGGAUCCCGGAUCCAGGGAGGAUCCA